AUUGAACGCUGGCGGCAGGCCUAACACAUGCAAGUCGAGCGAGCGGCGGACGGGUGAGUAAUGUCUGGGAAACUGCCUGAUGGAGGGGGAUAACUACUGGAAACGGUAGCUAAUACCGCAUACCAUCAGAUGUGCCCAGAUGGGAUUAGCUAGUAGGUGGGGUAACGGCACACCUAGGCGACGAUCCCUAGAUGGUCUGAGAGGAUGACCAGCCACACUGGAACGGAGACACGGUCCAGACUCCUACGAGAGGCAGCAGUGGGGAAUAUUGCACGAUGGGCGCAAGCCUUAGGCAGCCAGGCCGCGUGUGGGAAGAAGGCCUUAGGGUGGUAAAGAACUUGCAGCGGUGAGGCGUUUCCCGCAGAAGAAGCACAGGCUAACUCCGUGCCAGCAGCCGCGGUGUUUC
rnacentral:rRNA from 1 species